rnacentral:rRNA from 1 species
CCUACGGGUGGCAGCAGUGAGGAAUAUUGGUCAAUGGGCGAGAGCCUGAACCAGCCAAGUCGCGUGAGGGAGGACUGCCCUAUGGGUUGUAAACCUCUUUUGUCGGGGAGCAAAAGCCUGAACGGUCCGGCGGUGAGAGUACCCGCAGAAAAAGCAUCGGCUAACUCCGUGCCAGCAGCCGCGGGAAUACGGAGGAUGCGGGCGUUAUCCGGGUUUUUUGGGGUUAAAGGGUGCGCAGGCGGAUUUUUAAGUCAGCGGUCAAAUCGGGGGGUCCAACCCCAGCCAGUGGUUGAAACUGGGGAUCUAGAGUGUGCGAGAGGUAUGCGGAAUGCGUGGUGUAGCGGUGAAAUGCAUAGAUAUCACGCAGAACCCCGAUUGCGAAGGCAGCAUACCGGUGCACAACUGACGCUCAGGCACGAAAGCGUGGGUAUCGAACAGGAUUAGAUACCCUUGUAGUC